rnacentral:SRP_RNA from 1 species
GUCAGGUAUGGUGGCAUAUGCCUGUAAUCCCAGCUUCUUGGGAGGCUGAGGUGGGAGGAUCACUUGAGCCCAGGAGUUCAAGGCUGCAGUGAGCUGUGAUCACACUACUGCACUCAGCUGUGAUUGCACCACUGCACUCCUGCCUGGGUGACAGAGCAAGACCCUGUUUCUU